UAUAGAGAUAUAGUGGAGGUUACCAUGGAGACGAGGUGGUGCAUGGUUGUCGUCAGCUCGUGUCGUGAGAUGUUGGGUUAAGUCCCGCAACGAGCGCAACCCUUAUUGCUAGUUACCAUCAUUAAGUUGGGGACUCUAGCGAGACUGCCAGUGAUAAACUGGAGGAAGGUGGGGAUGACGUCAAAUCAUCAUGCCCCUUAUGUUCUGGGCUACACACGUGCUACAAUGGCCGGUACAGGCGGACGCAAAGCCGCGAGGUGGAGCAAAUCCUAAAAAGCCGGUCUCAGUUCGGAUUGCAGGCUGCAAUUCGCCUGCAUGAAGUCGGAAUCGCUAGUAAUCGCAGGUCAGCAUACUGCGGUGAAUACGUUCCCGGGCCUU
rnacentral:rRNA from 1 species